GUUCGCCAGAUGGGGACACUUUUGAUUUCAUACUUGUUUGACGCACUUUUUAAAUAUUUUUCGUAUUUUAACCUAUAGUCUUACUUUUAACUAUUUAUAAAAUAAUUUAUAUUUUUUUAUAUUAGUAAACUGAAGUUUUAUGUAAUAUUCCUUUAACUUAGAUUUACUUUAUAUUGUUUGUCAAGGAAAAAAGAAACGCCAUGUUACGACUUUACGCCAUUGCUCUGCGUCAACCAACCAACAAACUUCUGUCUUGAUUCGGAUCGAUGUUCGGGCCUUUACUGCGAAGAAGCAUUCUUCAAGGUUCAGCAUCGCGAACUUGGAAUUGUCUUACUAAUUUCACGCAACUACUUUGGUGUAAAUUGAAAUAUUUACGUGAUUUGAGGCUUAAACCGCUCGGAUACGAGUUUUGGUAUCUUUGUUUAUGAUGCCGCGUACCCGGAGGAAGCACUACUCGUCGCACUCGAGGUCGAGGUCAAGGUCAUACGACGCAAAGCGCCGUCGCCUCGAUGACGGCUCCGCUGAGGGGUCCUACAGGAAGAGAAGCCGCAGCAGAGAUCGUGACAGGGUCCGUGGUGGUUGGCUGGCUCAGGAUACUUUGGUACACAGAAAUAAAAUAUAUGCUGUGAAAAUCCGUG